rnacentral:tRNA from 1 species
GCCCACGUAGUUUAGCUUGGACAGAAUGUCAGGUUGCGGACCUGAAGAUCCGGGGUUCAAAUCCUCGCGUGGGCG